rnacentral:lncRNA from 1 species
AAACAAUUGUCAACAGAUUAUUUGUGACUUUUUGUCCUACCAAAUUUGUGACUUUAUGUCCUGUGACUUUCUGUCCGUUUACCUUUUGUAAACACCUUCCCAUUGGCGGAUCCAGCCCCUUUUUUUGGAUGAUCAAUGAAUUUGAAUGGGGACAUGUGGUUGGAACCCCCCUUUAUCCUGGGUUGAUCCGCCCCUGCUUCCAGACCCUCAUGAGAUAGAAGCAGAGACUAAGUAAAGUUGAUGUCAGCAACUUACAUUGUAUGUUCACUGUACGAUGUUUAACAAUUGACAAAUAUAUCAAAUAUUUGUUCCUAAUAGCAAGCUUGAAAGGUCCAUACAUGACAAAAUGAAAUUUAAAAUAGAUUUAGCAUAAUAAAAACCUGCAGAAUGUUGUAUGACAUACAUGUAGGAAGUAAAGUUUAAAAGUAAGACAAAUAGAUGUUGUAUAAUAGGCUCUACAAAUUCAAAUUUCUUUUCAACUCUAAAAUAUUAUUUUUUUUUUAAUUUAGAAUGCCAAAAGAGGAAAAGAUGUAGUAAGUUAACAAAAGGAGUUAAAAAGAAAGGUAAUCCUCGACCAUGGACAGCUGUUGAUACCAUUAUGGAGGAGAUAUCUGUUGCAGUUUCAAUCCAGCACUGAGAUGAAAAGGAUCAUCCAAUUAUGACACAUCUCUGGUCGAGUUUGUACGUUCUGAGGAAAUUUCUAUUACAUCAGAAGAAGUCAAAGGAGAACUCUUGUUAGAUGAACAUUCAGACCACACUUAUGCAGCAAAAGAACAGCCAUUUGAGAAUGAAAAAAUAUGUACGCUUGAAUUUGAUUGCCAUGCUGAUUUUUUUCUUGCACCACUGGAAGGCACAGAGCAACUGAUUACACAAUACAUUUGUAAUUGAGAUAUUUGCAGUGAAUGAGACACACAAUGAACAUGAAGAACCUUGCCUUUCUCCCAUUCUCCCUUUCAGACUUUAUGCAAUUUAUUACAAGUUAGCAUCAAUGAUACAUGUACAUAUAUCCUUAGCUGUACAGAUACCGAAAUUUGCAUACAGUUGAACUGUACCAGAUCAGUUGCAGGGAAAUUAGCACGAAUCUCUCAGUUAUCAUUGACAGUAACAUUAUAAGUGAAUGUUUGAUAAUAAAAAUAUUAUUUAUACCUGGAAUGAGUUUUGUUCUCUUAUAUCUUGGUUUAAUUAUUGAAAAAGGAUGGAAUGAUGUGUAGUGAUAGUCUAGAUAUAUUGUAUACAUAAAUACUUGUUCUGAUUCUCAGUCUGACUGGUCCUUUUCAUUUCAGAAUAAUGGGAUGUAUGACAGUGUUUUUUUUUACAGAAUGAUGUAAUUUGGUUUAUCCAAAAGCCACACCAAAUUAAUUGGUUUAUAUGAUUUAUAGAUAUGCUUACUGUGGGGGGGAAAACAUAACAAAAAAAAACAAACAAAAACAUAAAAUUGUACGGCUUGUGAUAAUGGUGAAAUAUAUUAUCAUGCCUUUAUUAUCUUUGUGUCUUUCCAAAGUAAGAAGCCUGUAAUUCACUUGUGGUUUGUUGCUGUAUAUCAUAUUUGGAUUUUUUUGUACAUAAAUCGGGCGGUUAGUUUUCUUGUUUGAAUUGUUAAACCUUUUUCAUACAUGUAAAUAGACCUUGUAUAGUUCGCAGUGCAGUAUGAAUUUUACUCAUUGCUAAGAGCCUUAUGGUUACCUACAGUUGUUAAUGUCUGUAUCAUUUGGUUUCUUGUGGAGAGUUCAAUAUUAUAUUGCAUAUACUGUACAGAAAAGAAAUGUCAUACACUCGCA